rnacentral:lncRNA from 1 species
UCAGUUUCUAGGUUUUGGGUGAAUUGUGGGCCUAGGGUUUUUUAGUCAUCAGAAAACACCAGAGUGCUGAAUUCACCUGUCGUGUUGAAGUCAAAUGCAUACGCAAUAGCUAAGAGUGGUUCAGGCUGACAUGUGGCGGUGGGAAUUGCAUGAAAGGUGUGGGGCGUGAAGACAACGAUAUGUGGUGUGAUGGGUGCGAAAACCCCGUUGUCUUCCCGAGAGCAAGAACUCGAGGUGUUUGACUCAACAGCCGAAGCUGUCGUUGUCUGCUUUGAAGACACCGCCCAACGCUUGACAAAGACCACUGCUCAUAGUAUACUCACAGCAGAGUCUGGCCUAUCACGCGUCUAUAA